rnacentral:tRNA from 1 species
GGAGCUACGUAGCUCAGCAGUUGAGUAUCUGCUUGGCAUGCAGAAUGGUCCCAGGUUCAAUCCUUGACAUCCA